GGGCUUGUACUGGUUUCGACGGGGGCUUUGAAGUUGGGGAAGCCAUCCGCAGACUCCCAGACUGCGUACCAACCGGGAAACUAAAUAUAAACGCAGACGAACAGUACGCGUUAGCAGCCUAAUUGCUGCUCGUCAGCCCUGAUGCACUCACACUUCAGGAAUCUGACGUCGACCAUGUGAGAAACCUUGCCGGGUAAGCUUUGCCCCGGUAGAUGUAUCAUGAAGCUACUAAGGUUGUAAGCCUGUCGGUGGGCGUACAUCCAAGGGAAUGUUAAAACAGCGACUGUGAUGGGAGAUGCCUUAAUGAAUAGGCUUUCGGACGCGGGUUCAAUUCCCGCCAGGUCCACUU
rfam:Ruminococcus sp. CAG:9 genomic scaffold, scf354